rnacentral:rRNA from 1 species
GAUCCUUCGGGAUUAGUGGCAGACGGGUGAGUAACGCGUGGGAAGCUACCUUGUGGUAGGGAACAACAGUUGGAAACGACUGCUAAUACCCUAUGAGCCCUAUGGGGGAAAGAUUUAUCGCCAUGAGAUGUGCCCGCGUUAGAUUAGCUAGUUGGUAAGGUAAUGGCUUACCAAGGCGACGAUCUAUAGCUGGUCUGAGAGGAUGAUCAGCCACACUGGGACUGAGACACGGCCCAGACUCCUACGGGAGGCAGCAGUGGGGAAUAUUGGACAAUGGGGGCAACCCUGAUCCAGCCAUGCCGCGUGAGUGAUGACGGCCUUAGGGUUGUAAAGCUCUUUCAGCAGUGAAGAUAAUGACAUUAACUGCAGAAGAAGCCCCGGCUAACUUCGUGCCAGCAGCCGCGGUAAUACGAAGGGGGCUAGCGUUGUUCGGAAUCACUGGGCGUAAAGCGUACGUAGGCGGACUGAUCAGUCAGGGGUGAAAUCCCGGGGCUCAACCCCGGAACUGCCUUUGAUACUGUCAGUCUUGAGAUCGAGAGAGGUGAGUGGAACUCCGAGUGUAGAGGUGAAAUUCGUAGAUAUUCGGAAGAACACCAGUGGCGAAGGCGGCUCACUGGCUCGAUACUGACGCUGAGGUACG